CCCUUCGCAAAUGAGGAAACAGAAGCACAGAGAGGUGCAGUCGCUUUGCAAAGUCACCCAGCUGGUAAGUGGUGAAGCCAGAAUUCAGAGCCCAUGGUGGUUGAUUCUAGAGCCUGUGGGGUUACCCACUAUAUGGCCCAGGGAAUCUAAGGACUGUCCCACAAUCACAGAGGAGCUGAGCCAGGCCCUGGAGGUGGCCUGGAGCGGAGGGAAGUUCACUGAAUGAGCAGGGCCGGACCCCUGGGUCCGUGUUUUCGGCAGGCUCUGGUCCUGGCUGUUUGGGAAGAGAGUGAGGAAGAGCAGCCAGUGAGCGUGGGAGGAGCAGAAAGGAAGUCUGGAGAUCCCACUGGGAGACUUGGAACUAAGGAGCUACAGCAGAUGCUUGAGCUGGAGUGUCAGCUCCUACCCUCGGCGGCACAUCAGUGUUGGGACAAUGGGCCAGAGUAUUUUGUUAAUAAUGAUCACAACAGUGCUAGAUACUGCCCUAGGCACUUUAUAGGCAUGAUCUGAGUCAUCACAAAACCUCCAGGAGACCCGUGAUGUUAUCAUCCCAUUUCACAGAUGAGAUUACCAAGGCUCAGAGAAGAGAAGCCAUCUGCCCAAGGCCACAGACCUGCUGAGUUGUAGCAGUGACAUUUGGACCCAGGCCUUGCUGAUUCCCAAGCCUGCAUAUCUGCAUCAGUUAGGUGUAAUGACCGUAACGCUAUGUAACAAACGACCACAAAAUCUUGGUGCCAUAGAACAGUAAGUGUGUCUCUAGCUCACGUCUCAUGUGUGUUGCUGAGCCUGCCUGGGCUCAGCUGGGCAGCUCUGUUCUGCUCCAUGUGUCUCCCAUCCUCCCCUGGGGUCGGCGAGCUGGCUCAGACAUGCUCGUCUCCUGGCGAUGGCAGGAGGGCAAGCAGCCCAGAAGAAACACCCAAGGCCUCUUGGGACCAGACCCAGAACCAGUGCACUGUCGAUUCUAUUGACCUCAUUCUACUGACCUAAGCAAGUCACGGAGCAGGCCCAACAUCUGAGGGCGGGGAACUGUGCUCCAGCCUUUGACGGAAGGUACUGGAGGUCACUUGGUAAGGUGGGGAUACAGGGAGGGGGAAAGAAUUGGGGCCCAUGUUGUGCUCCACUAUAGUGCCGAGGCUGGUGAAAAAUGUGUCCCCAUGUUCUUUGAUACUCUUUCCAAAUAGUGGAGCCCUUGAGCGUGGACUGGCCUUCUUGACUCCCUUCCAAUGAACAGAACAAGAUGGAAGUGGCGGUGUGUAACUUCCAAGGCUGGGACGCUGGGACUCCCUCCUUGCUCCCUUGAGGAUCGUCACUCUGGGGAAGCCAGCCGCCAUGUUGCCAGGACCCUCAAGCAGCCUUGUGGAGAGACCCACGUGGUGGGGACCCGGGGCUCCAGCCAGCAGCUGUGUGAGGUCCUCCAGCCCCGGUCAAGCCUUCGGAUGGCUGCAGCCCCUGCCAUCAGGAUGGCAACUUCCACAGAGACCUCAAGUUAGAACCGCCCAGCGAAGGUGCUCCUGAACUCCUGACCCACAGAAACUGUGGGGCAAUAACUGUGUGUUGUUUUCAGCUGCCAAGUUCUGGGGCGAUCUGCUAUGGAGCGAUAGAUAACUAACGCGUAAUCAUUAUGCCAACCCAUCGCGGCCAUUUCAAGUGAGGCUUAGAUGCAAGAUGUUUUCUCUGUUCCCCGGAGAACCAACACAAGCCCAACAAUUUACCAAGAUUAGGGGACCAAAAAUACUCAUGGCAAACUGUGGUUGUUAAGAAACAUCUGUUCUUGAGCCGCCCAAAUUGGACAAUUCUCAAAGGGAAAGAAAAUGCAUCAGAAGAUGGGGACGGCUGCGUGGGAACUGAUGCCAAUCCCCCAGCAGCCUCAGCUCAUCGCUCAGGUCCCUCCUUACAGUUGAGGUGGGGAGAGGAAUCCAAACAAAGAUCUGACGGGGUAUGUUAAUAAGGGCUGCCCGAGCAAGGGACCAAGGGCUCUGUCCAACUGCGAGGGAGGUACCCACACUGGCCCCAUACUCCUGCUUUGUGCCAGGUACAGGUGGGCACUUAAAGCCCUGCUUGUGAGGACCAAGGGUGGGGGUUCUGGAAGACUCUGGCUCUAUGAUGAGGACUAAUGGGCGAGAGGCAGUAUGGAGUAGUGGUUAAGAGCCCAUGGGCAGACCCGGGUUCGAGUCCUGCCAAUGAUGCUUGCCAGCUCUGAGGCUUGCAAGUGACCAGGCACUUAGAUGCUCUGAGCCAGUUUCCUCAUCAGCAGGAUGGACAUAAUAACUACUUGACCUGUAGCUAUGGUCUGUUUGGUAAGGCUCCUCUCCCACUCCGUGUGACUGUCCAUCUUGGUGUCCCACCACUGUAGCACACACAUACCCUUGGCCACAGUGAUUGGUUCAGGAAUAGACACAUGGCCCAAGUGAGGCCAAUCAGAUGGAACUGGAGACAUGGUCGUUGCCUAAAGUGCUAAGUUUAGAAGGACAUGAGUCACAGUUGCCAGUGUCAACUGUCAUGUGAAGCAUGUGAAGAAAUCUUGUCUAAGACCUGGCAAGAGAUAACAGAGCCUCACAAAAUUGCUUAACUUCCUGGAUCCAGCCAUACCUGAAGCCUACAAGAAUGUGUCCUGAUGUCUGUAUUAGUCAGAGUUCUCUAGAGAAACAGAAUCAACAGGAUUAAACAUAUACACAACAUUCACACCUCCAAUUGGUUCUGCUGUAUCUAUCUAUUGAUUGAUAGACAUAGAUAUAGAAAGAUAUUUAUUAUAAGGAAUUGGCUUAUAUGAUUAUAAAGACUAGGAAGUCUCAAGAUCUGCAGGCAGCCAGCUGGAGACCAGAAGGGCUGAUGGUGUAAGCUCCAGUCUGAAAGCCAGCAGAUUCGGGCUGAUAAGAGCUGAUGUUUUAGUUCAAGUCCAAAGUCAGGAGAAGGCCGAUGUCCCAGCUCAAGGCCAUCAGACAGGAGGCAUUCCCCGUACCCACAGGACGGUCAGACUUUGUGUUCUAUUCAGGCCUUCAACUGAUUAGAUGAGGCCCACCCACAUUAGGGAGGGCAAUCUACUAUACUCAGUCUACUGAUUCAAACGUUAUUCUCACCUAAAAUCACUCUACGGAAACACACAGGAUAAUGUUUGACCAAAUAUCUGGGCACCCCAUGGCCCAGUCAAGUUGACACACAAAAUAAACCAUCACAGUGUCCAAGUUGUCACGUGAUACCUCCCCCUGUUUGUUUUAGACACAUUCGAGUUGACAGAACUCGCUUGGAGUCAGGGUCUUGUGGAUGGAAAUGCUUAUUUCACAGGGAUAUUGGAAAAGUGGCAGAGCUCUCGUGAAGCGCAGUGCCUGGGAGCUGGAAAGUUCUCAGGGAUGAUGAUCGUUGAUGCUCGUCCUAGAGAAAACUCUCGGGAGCAGGCUUUCUCCAUUUGGGAGAAAAUGGGCCACACUCUGCUUUCUCUGCCUCAUAUCCUCUCUCCACCACAGAGCUGGCCCCGUGGUCCUGGGCGGAUGGUACAGACCCUCUACCCCAGGGAAACACUAUAGUCCAGGUCGCCUGGCACCAUAAUUAAUAAGCUGAAAGAUGAGGAACCUGGAGAACCCUUCCUUAAGGCUGUGAUCUGGCAUCAUCUAAUUUUGAACGUCACAUCUGUCUUUCCUUUUCAUUUUCUGAAAUAAAUUCUAGUCUCCCCCAGACUAAUGGACGCCUAGGGCUGUGCGCAUCCAAAGCUGCACUCAGGGAAGAAAAGUGAAAAGCACGUUAAAAACUUUUAAACCAGCUACCCUGAAGCAUGUCUUUCUGAGAGUGGUGGAUGUGUUGCUUUUGACCACCAGCAUCCCUUCCUUGAUGGAACCAUGCCUCCGUGACUCCCCGUGGUACCCACUGUCCUCCACCUUCCUCACCACAGUGGAGAGCCUAUGACCAGGCUGCACCGGUCCUAACACCUUGGCCACAUCCACUUGGACCCAGGGAUUGGUCCUGAGGUGGACACGUGAUCCAAGCAAAGCCACUCCAAACCCUUCUUUGGAUUCCUAUAUCAAUGAUCAAAGAAAAGGAGAGAGAGAGAAAGAGUGACAGAGAGAGAGAGAGAGAGAGUGCUUUUUCCUUUUGGAUUGCAAGCCAUAGGGGUGAGGCCUGAAGCUGCCUGUGGCCAUUCUUCCUGCCUUGUAGAGAAGCAACCCACAGAGGGAAGAAGGGAGAUAGAGAGAGAACUGAGUGCCAGACACAUGAGAGGAUAGCAUGUGAGCCCCUGGAUCCAGCUAUGCCUGAAGCCAGCUAAAAUUCCCCCUUUUGCUUAAACCUGUUUAAGUUGAAACAAUGGUCUGUGGCUGUUCCUUAAACUCACUUAAAGAAUGAUGAGGAAAACUGCAGACAUGCUUGUGCCAAGGAGCUUGGACCAGGCUACACGGAACUUCUAAACACCAGAUGGCUGAGACUCCAGCUACUCUCUUAUAGAUUGGAAGUCUGCCCUGUGCCCCAAAGCACAGACUUUAGAGUGAGAAGCCUGGGACGUGAGCCCCAAAUCCCAACUCUCUGGGCCUCAGUUUCCUCCUCUGUAAACUGUAGACUGUGGUACCCACCUCCUCAGGCAGUAAGAGGAUUAAAUCAGAUGGUGGUUGUCGCCUGUGCAGCCCGGUGCCUGGCUCAGAGAACUGCCCCUCAGCAGGCGCUGUCUAGCCCCGAUCCCCAGGGAACCCUGCCCGCUGCUCCCUCCCCUGCCUGACCCAGUUUUUCAUCCAAAUUUGGCCACAGGCCCGGGCCCCGGCCUAUUUUAGGUACACCUCUUUUUGUUGCAGGAAAAAGAGACCCACGCAAGUUACCUUAAAACAGAGGGUUUAUUAUGGGGACAGGAAUGUGGAUGGGGCGGAGGCAGGGGCACCCUUGGGACUGGAACUGUUUGGCUGUAGAAUCUCUUUUCUUUGCUCCUUUAAAAGGGAUCAUCCCACUCGUCCUUGCAGGAGGGACCACUUCCCGGCCUGGGUGCAAACAAACCAGGGAGGUUUGGUGACCACGAUUGUUGAAACCCGAGACUCCCCUUAACUCAUGUGGAGAGAGUGGAGCUUUUGGCUGCUGAUCAUUUGGAUUCGGGUUUUCACAGCCCUCAGGACCAUCAGGGCUGUUGUGAGAAAGCAGGUGGGCGCGGAUUUGGGGACGGAGGAUUGUAUAGAGUGACUGUAAUUUAUCGCCCAAACCAGGAUGCUUUGAGAAUGACAGGGGCAGCACGAAUACUUACGCAGGGACGAAAGACAAAAACCAAGACUGUGCAAGCAGCCAGGACACAGGGUCACCCUAAGAGCUCAGAGGUCUGAGAAGGAAGGGGAGGAAGAAAGCAGUGACCACACUGGAAAGAGGACCGGGUGUGACCGCUGCCCAGGAAGUGCCAGGAAGCUGACACCAUCCCCCUGGAUGCAGUGGUGCAGAAUGUGACCUAAGCUAAGGCAAUUAGCACAUCCUGUCUUCCGGGCCACUGAUUGAUCUAGGGAUGAAGAAUGGAAUGCAGAGCUGCCAAUAUCAUUUUUGAUGAAGGAUCUACACAUGGAGCCAGCCCCAGGGAAGUAGAGCUGAGAAGUGGAGAGAGAGAAACUGGAUCCUGGUGACAUCAUUCAAGCUCCUGGAUCAAGCCACACCUGAAGGUCUGCCCUUGGGCUUUUCAAACACAGGAGCCAAUAAAGUCCCUUUUCUCAGGUCACGUUCUCUGCUACCUGCAAUUGUCAAAGCUCUAACGGCAGAUUAGCUCCUGCAGCCAAAAGGAUGUUCAAACCAAUGGUAAAAGAGUAAAUAAACUAUGCAGUUGCUCGCACAAAGUUCUGAGCUCUGCCUUCCCAUAGUGAGAAUUUCCAGGCUCCAGUUAGAGCCCUUGGUCCCUCUCUUCCUAUCCACUAAUGCAAGCCAUCUCACAGAAUCCACCCCUGGCAAUGUCGUGAAGUAGGUCAAGACUAUUUCUGAAGCCUGAGUGUUGGACCUGACCUCUGUGGGUCUACAGAGCCUGUUACAUGAAUACCCUGGCAUUCCC